UACGUAGGGUGCAAGCGUUAUCCGGAAUUAUUGGGCGUAAAGAGCUCGUAGGCGGUUUGUCGCGUCUGCUGUGAAAACUGGGGGCUCAACCCCCAGCCUGCAGUGGGUACGGGCAGACUAGAGUGCGGUAGGGGAGAUUGGAAUUCCUGGUGUAGCGGUGGAAUGCGCAGAUAUCAGUCGGAACACCGGUGGCGAAGGCGGCUUCUUGGGCCGUUCCUGACGCUGAGGCGCGAAAGCUGGGGGAGCGAACGGG
rnacentral:rRNA from 1 species